rnacentral:rRNA from 1 species
AACGAACGCUGGCGGCAGGCUUAACACAUGCAAGUCGAACGGACGUAGCAAUACGUUAGUGGCAGACGGGUGAGUAACGCGUGGGAAUAUGCCCUUUAGUUCGGAAUAACUCAGGGAAACUUGAGCUAAUACCGGAUAAGCCCGAGAGGGGAAAGAUUUAUCGCUAAAGGAGUAGCCCGCGUCUGAUUAGCUAGUUGGUGGGGUAAUGGCUCACCAAGGCGACGAUCAGUGGCUGGUCUGAGAGGAUGAUCAGCCACACUGGGACUGAGACACGGCCCAGACUCCUACGGGAGGCAGCAGUGGGGAAUAUUGGACAAUGGGGGCAACCCUGAUCCAGCCAUGCCGCGUGAGUGAUGAAGGCCUUAGGGUUGUAAAACUCUUUUGUCCGGGAAGAUAAUGACUGUACCGGAAGAAUAAGCCCCGGCUAACUUCGUGCCAGCCGCCGCCGUAAAAC